CUCGUUAUACGAGGAGCUGUAAAGAUGGCGCUAGGUCCCCUGAAGAUCAAUCCGGUGGCUUUAAACCGGUUAAAAGCCUUCCUGAGUGAGCCAGCGUACAAGGAUGCGACGGAGAGUUCGUCGAUGUGCAACACACGCCUGGUGGUCGAGCGGCGCCUGCGGCUGCCUUUUCUGGACGCCCAGACGGGUGUGGCGCAGAGUGACUGCGCCCUGUGGAUGGCCCGCUGGCAGCGAAUGCCGGGCCAUGCCGAGGGCCAGCUCUACUCAUAUCCAGCACGGCGAUGGCGCAAGCGCCGUCGCCAGUACCUGAUGAAUGACCGGUACCUGGGGGCCACGCGACUGCGCGAGCAGCCGCCGGACUACGGGGACGCAGACAUGCACCAGAUCAGCGUGGUGGAGAAUGUGGCGGCACGGCCAACGGAGGGCCUGGACGAGGCUGCCGACAAAGGGGCUGGAGCCCCGGUUGGCGGUGAGGACUCUAACCAGUCGUGGUACCUGGACGAGGCCCAGGAGUCAACAGCUGCCCUGCUGGAGGCCACAGCAGUGGCCGACUUCCCCGACGACCCUGAGACAGACACGGAGGACUAUGACGAGACAUACACACGCAAGAAGAAGAAGAAGCCCAAGAAUGCUGGCCAGAAGAAGCGGACCCGCAUUGAGUACACGGACGCCGAGAAACCGUACAGCUGUGAAAUAUGCGGUGUGCGGUACAAGACGCGCCCUGGCCUGUCGUACCACUAUGCGCACAGCCAUAUUGCCAGCAGCAACAGCGGCACCAGCAGCGGCAGCGGGAGUACAGCCACGGCGACCCCGGCCGACCAUCACCCACCUUCAGCUGCGACCCAACAGGAGGACAGCGGUGGCUCGAGCAGUGCGCCUUCUGGUGGAGAGUUUGGCAGUGGCCGCGGUGGCGGCCCCGCCUCGGGUGACAGCCCCCUGGCUGGGCUGCGCAAGUUUCAGGACUCGUUCCUCUCUUUCCUGAAGACCCCCCAGGGGGGUGCUGCCCCCCCUGCAGAGGAGGCGGGGGUGCCUGCCCCUUCCCAGCAGCCGCCCCCGCCGCCGCAGCAGGGCCGCAGCGCCAGCGGCAAGCCCCUGGCCAACCCGAGCCCCUACUGUGACUUCUGCCUGGGCGACAAUGGCGAGAACAAAAAGACACGGCAGCCGGAGGAACUCGUCUCCUGCUCGGACUGUGGCCGCUCUGCGCACCCGUCUUGCCUCCAGUUCACGCCCAACAUGACUGUGUCGGUGAAGAAGUACCGCUGGCAGUGCAUCGAAUGCAAGUCCUGCGGCCUGUGUGGAACCUCGGACAAUGAUCCCAGUUGGCGGCGAUCUUCUGCCUUGCCGGGUCCGUGGAGCGUAGUGAGGUCUCCCAGUCCUUCCAGGUUUUGAGGGGUACCGGCCCGCCGGGGGGAGAAGAAGCUGGGCAGGCCAGGAGUAUAUGGGAUCAGCUGCUGUUUUGCGACGACUGCGACCGGGGCUACCACAUGUACUGCCUGCAGCCGCCCCUGUCUGAGCCACCUGAAGGUCAGU
rnacentral:misc_RNA from 1 species